rnacentral:rRNA from 1 species
ACGCUGGCGGCGUGCCUAAUACAUGCAAGUAGAACGCUGAAGAGAGGAGCUUGCUCUUCUUGAAUGAGUUGCGAACGGGUGAGUAACGCGUAGGUAACCUGCCUUGUAGCGGGGGAUAACUAUUGGAAACGAUAGCUAAUACCGCAUAACAAUGGGUGACACAUGUCAUUUAUUUGAAAGGGGCAAUUGCUCCACUACAAGAUGGACCUGCGUUGUAUUAGCUAGUAGGUGAGGUAACGGCUCACCUAGGCGACGAUACAUAGCCGACCUGAGAGGGUGAUCGGCCACACUGGGACUGAGACACGGCCCAGACUCCUACGGGAGGCAGCAGUAGGGAAUCUUCGGCAAUGGGGGCAACCCUGACCGAGCAACGCCGCGUGAGUGAAGAAGGUUUUCGGAUCGUAAAGCUCUGUUGUAAGUCAAGAACGAGUGUGAGAGUGGAAAGUUCACACUGUGACGGUAGCUUACCAGGAAGGGACGGCUAACUACGUGCCAGCAGCCGCGGUAAUACGUAGGUCCCGAGCGUUGUCCGGAUUUAUUGGGCGUAAAGCGAGCGCAGGCGGUUUGAUAAGUCUGAAGUUAAAGGCUGUGGCUCAACCAUAGUUCGCUUUGGAAACUGUCAAACUUGAGUGCAGAAGGGGAGAGUGGAAUUCCAUGUGUAGCGGUGAAAUGCGUAGAUAUAUGGAGGAACACCGGUGGCGAAAGCGGCUCUCUGGUCUGUAACUGACGCUGAGGCUCGAAAGCGUGGGGAGCGAACAGGAUUAGAUACCCUGGUAGUCCACGCCGUAAACGAUGAGUGCUAGGUGUUGGAUCCUUUCCGGGAUUCAGUGCCGCAGCUAACGCAUUAAGCACUCCGCCUGGGGAGUACGACCGCAAGGUUGAAACUCAAAGGAAUUGACGGGGGCCCGCACAAGCGGUGG